rnacentral:rRNA from 1 species
ACGGGAGGCAGCAGUGGGGAAUAUUGCACAAUGGGCGGAAGCCUGAUGCAGCGACGCCGCGUGAGGGAUGACGGCCUUCGGGUUGUAAACCUCUUUCAGCAGGGACGAAGCGAGAGUGACGGUACCUGCAGAAGAAGCGCCGGCCAACUACGUGCCAGCAGCCGCGGUAAGACGUAGGGCGCGAGCGUUGUCCGGAUUUAUUGGGCGUAAAGAGCUCGUAGGCGGCUUGUCGCGUCGACCGUGAAAACUUGGGGCUCAACCCCAAGCCUGCGGUCGAUACGGGCAGGCUCGAGUUCGGUAGGGGAGACUGGAAUUCCUGGUGUAGCGGUGAAAUGCGCAGAUAUCAGGAGGAACACCGGUGGCGAAGGCGGGUCUCUGGGCCGAUACUGACGCUGAGGAGCGAAAGCGUGGGGAGCGAACAGGAUUAGAUACCCUGGUAGUCCACGCUGUAAACGUUGGGCGCUAGGUGUGGGGAGCCUCUCCGGUUCUCUGUGCCGCAGCUAACGCAUUAAGCGCCCCGCCUGGGGAGUACGGCCGCAAGGCUAAAACUCAAAGGAAUUGACGGGGGCCC